UNGGUGUUGCCCGAAGGCACUUUCGUAAGCUG
rnacentral:piRNA from 1 species